UAAAAGCCAGCUAUACCCACCGCCCUCCUUUCUUCAAAACCUAACCCUAACCCAUUGAAAGACAGUCUGGACAGAGCGACCGGGGAGAAGAGAUGGGAGACAGAGACGGAGAAGUCUCCGGCUUCGACACGGUGGCCGCGCCGCACACGGCUCUCCAGCGUCGACAUGACAGACGGGUCCGGCGUACAUGGUGGUGGGGUUAUGUCGGGUAACCGCAACUGCAGUCAACAGUGAUGACGGUUACGGUAUGACCGUUUUGAGCAACGAUGGUGAUCACAGUAAGAGAGACAGGGAGAGAAUCAGAAGAGAGAGAUUGUGAACGAGAGGGUUUUGGAGAUAAAAGGGGCCUGUCACUCUUCCGGCUGCCUCCCUCGCCGGCGUCAUGAUGAACGGUGGUUGUGCGGCGGCAGCAUCCUUGAUGGUUGGUUUACAGCGGUGGUGGUGGUAGGGACGUAGCAGACAGUAACCGUGGUGGGGUUAUUUUAUUUGUUACCGAUUUCAUGCUCCGUGUUUCGAUUGAAGGCGCGGCUUUUUGAGUUUGAUUUCGUCUUCCAUAUGAUAGUCCUUCGGUAUUCCUAGGUAUGUUACAGCUAUGUAUUAGUUUUAUGUUUUAAUUUGGGGGUAUAAUUUGUUAUGUUCGCUGUUUUGGGUUAUGGUAUUUUAGAUAUAUGUUUUCAUUUGGGGCUUUAAACCGAAUGCCCUGUUCUCAACGCGUGCCCUGUUAAAGGCACACAUCUCCUUUUUAACCCAAUCACAAACCUACCAUAGAGAGAGAAGGAGAGGGCAAACGGAUAAAAGGUUGCGUUGGCUAACCCACCACCGUACCCGCCAUCGUCGACGCACCCACAUCCGGUGUGUGGGGUUUCAGUUUCCUCAAACGGCGGUUUCAGGUAGAAACGCCGCCAUCAGCGGUCACUGGCGUUUCGAUGAGGUGUCUACGGCGGCUGUUCCGGUCAUGCCCUUUUGCAUUGCAUGUAGGUCAAACGAUUUACUUUUUUCUUCUUAGAUUGUGUAGAUUUAUGGUUGUAUUCUUUGAUAUGCUAUUUGUUUUUAUGGAUUGACCACAUUAUUAGCAGCAGAGUAUUGCAAGAGUUGUGCUGUGAGAAAACGACAGAGACUUUGUUGUUAUGUUGUUCAUUUAACAGUAUCUAAAAAUGUAGAGAAUAGGAUUUCAGGCACCUUAUGUGUGUGCUGUUGUGCAAUCAGGUAAAGAAAUCAUCUGGUUUUGUGUUCUUUUUAGUGGUUUGGUCAAGGUGUAAGAAAAGUAAAACAUAUUUUGGUUUACUAUAUGUUUUGACGCUCUUAACCUGAUCAUAGUUAGGUGAUUCUUUACAUCUUGACCAAAUAGUGUGGAAAAACCAAGUGAAGUCAUUCUUUAGUUUUAAAUCAAUAUAAUCCAUUAUACCUGCUCAAAAGUUUUCCAAAAUCAAUAGAUCGGAUUCAAGAUUUACACAACAAAUUUUUAUAUAAAAGUCCUCUGUUUAUGAUAUAAUUACUUAUUUAAAUUUCAUGAAAUCAUACAGGUCCAAAUAAAUUAAUAAAGUAAUCACAAUUCCUUUUGUUUUAAAUAAAACUUAAUUACAUUUUUCUACAAAAGGGGCCAAAAUCGUAAUUUACUCUUUCUAAAAUAAUAAAUAUUAGAUAAUAAACGUUAAACCUCUGGUUCUUAGUUCAAAACUUUAUCCCGGUCAGUCAAAAGUGAAACGUAUACUUUAAGUCGGCUAAACUUACGGACUUGCUUCGGUUUGGGCGGUUCGGUCGGGUUUCAACGGUUCGUAAGCACCCAUAACUAAUUCCAUCUUAAAAGUUAUUUUUUCUCCAAAUAAUGAAAAGUGAUUUGGACAUUUGUUAUAGGAUGCUAAGUUGAAAGCUGCUAACAUGCACAUCUACGUAAGGAGAGGAGGUCCAAAUUACCAAAAAGGACUAGCGAAGAUGCGGGCAAUAGGAGAGGAAAUUGGCAUCCCAAUUGAGGUGUACGGACCCGAAGCAACGGUGACCGGAAUAUGCAAACAAGCGAUUGAAUACAUCAUCGCCGCUACCUAAAUGUUACCGGGCUUUUGUGUUUCUCAGUUUUAACUGUGGUUUGUUGCAUUUAUUGUGCAUGGGUUGAAUGGCAAAGGGAUACAGGAGGAAGAGAGGUGAAUGGUUCAACAUACCAGCUAAUGCCAUUGGCAUACACCUUCUGCACACACUAUUGACGGGAAUAGGCAUGUCGAAUCGCCUUUGAUCUUAUGGGCAUGGACUAUAUGCAUUUUGUUGACAAAUUGAUUAAGUUGUUUGUUGUGCAUCAUUUGUUUUCUUUAUAUAUGUAUGAAGCAGAAAAACAUUUUGUUCAUAUGAACGAUGAAGAUCAAAACGCAGCUAUCGUCAUUCUUUAAACCAUCCCAUUAU